AUUGAACGCUGGCGGCAGGCCUAACACAUGCAAGUCGCACGAGUGGCGGACGGGUGAGUAAUGUCUGGGAAACUGCCUGAUGGAGGGGGAUAACUACUGGAACCGGUAGCUAAUACCGCAUACCCUCGGAUGUGCCCCGAUGGGAUUCACUAGUAGGUGGGGUAAAGGCUCACCUCGCCGACGAUCCCUAGCUGGUCUGAGAGGAUGACGAGGCAAACUGUGACUGAGACACAGUCCAGACUCCUAGGGGAGGCAGAAUUGGGGAAUAUGGCACAAUGGGUGCAAGCCUGAUACAGCCAUGCCUCGUGUAUGAAGAAGGCCUUCUGGUUGUAAAGUACUUUCAGCGGGGAGGCGUUACUCGCAGAAGAAGCACCGGCUAACUCCGGGCCAGCAGCCGCGGUAAUUC
rnacentral:rRNA from 1 species